rnacentral:rRNA from 1 species
UACGGAGGGAGCUAGCGUUGUUCGGAAUUACUGGGCGUAAAGCGCGCGUAGGCGGCUUUGUAAGUUAGAGGUGAAAGCCCGGGGCUCAACCCCGGAAUUGCCUUUAAGACUGCAUCGCUUGAAUCCGGGAGAGGUGAGUGGAAUUCCGAGUGUAGAGGUGAAAUUCGUAGAUAUUCGGAAGAACACCAGUGGCGAAGGCGGCUCACUGGACCGGCAUUGACACUGAAGCACGAAAGCGUGGGGAGCAAACAGG